AUACGAAGGGGGCUAGCGUUGUUCGGAAUAACUGGGCGUAAAGCGCACGUAGGCGGAAUGUUAAGUUAGAGGUGAAAUCCCAGGGCUCAACCCUGGAACUGCCUUUAAUACUGGCAAUCUAGAGAUCGAGAGAGGUGAGUGGAAUUCCGAGUGUAGAGGUGAAAUUCGUAGAUAUUCGGAGGAACACCAGUGGCGAAGGCGGCUCACUGGCUCGAUACUGACGCUGAGGUGCGAAAGCGUGGGGAGCAAACAGGAUUAGAUACCCUAGUAGUCC
rnacentral:rRNA from 1 species